CCGUGGUAUGCGCCGCCUACUCUGACAUCCAGGUCGAGAGAUACUCGACCCAACACCUCAACAGAGCAUCGGAUGACUGGCAGCUGUGUCCGCCCGGACACGUGCUGACUGCGGUGACAGCCACCAACUCGUUCAUCGCGGAGGUGGUCAGCAUGACCUGUGGCCUCAUCAGCAGCGAGUCCGGCAGAUUCAGUGGCGCCUGCAGCGACACCAGUGUACCAGAUACGGUCGGCUCUGACUACUCGAUCGUCUGCAUCAAUGACCAUCCGGUGGCCAACCUGCUGGUGGGCUUCAUCUACAAUGAGCACCGCACGCCUCGCUGGCGAGGAGUCCGCUGCUGCACUUUCGCGCGACCGGGGCAGUAGGCGGUCCGAUCUGCUGCCCUUCCCACGGCUGGAGGAGUCAGAGUCCGGUCUAGAGCUGGGGAUUGGCGUGCACUUUCGAAUUCGAAUCUUUGGGUGGGCGGAUUGGGAUCCGAAUUUAGAACAUGACGCCGCUCAAAUAGACGCGGAUAUUUGUGGCAAAAUCUCAGACUUUUGAUGUCGGGUCGUUCCCACUUGGAAACCGUUUUUCAAGUUUCCGGCUGACUGUCCUCAACGCUUCUGUGAUUGGUGCACUUCUGGAUUGGCCAAAAAAGUUUUGGAGCGGGUGUAUAUGCAACAAAAGACAAAGCUAGCGACAGAUUUCAACGCAUCACCAACACAUUCGACGACAUUUAUUUUAGUUGAAGGAUGCU